AGGACGAACGCUGGCGGCGUGCUUAACACAUGCAAGUCGAACGAGGUCCAUCCGGUGGCAACACUGGAGAAGACCUAGUGGCGAACGGGUGAGUAACACGUGAGGAACCUGCCCCGAAGACCGGGAUAACAGCGGGAAACCGCUGCUAAUACCGGAUGCCCCCAUCGGGCCACAUGGUCUGAUGAGGAAAUGGAUUCCGCUUCGGGAGGGCCUCGCGGCCUAUCAGCUUGUUGGUGGGGUAACGGCCUACCAAGGCGACGACGGGUA
rnacentral:rRNA from 1 species